rnacentral:rRNA from 1 species
UACGAAGGGGGCUAGCGUUGCUCGGAAUCACUGGGCGUAAAGGGUGCGUAGGCGGGUUGGUAAGUCCGCUGUGAAAGCCCGGAGCUCAACUCCGGAGGGUCGGUGGAUACUGCCAGUCUUGAAGGUGCUAGGGGGAGAUGGAAUUACCGGUGUAGCGGUGAAAUGCGUAGAUAUCGGUAGGAACACCAGUGGCGAAGGCGGUCUCCUGGGGCAUUCUUGACGCUGAGGCGCGAAAGCUGGGGGAGCGAACGGG